rnacentral:lncRNA from 1 species
UAAAAGUAAAUAAGAAGACAAAUGUUUUCAUAACAAAAAAGGGGGAAAAAUUAUAUUAUUACAUAUUAGAGUCAUAAUUAAACAUCAAUGAGAUAUAAGAAGAUUUGCAAUUCGAUCACGUUCUUCUUCCAUCUCUCUUACAUGAUGUGAACCAUCUUCCUCAACAAGUGAAUCCACUCUACUCUCUUCUUCAUUAAGUGGAAACAACCCUUGAUCAUCAUCAUAAGGUUUAAAUUCCAUAUCCAUUCUAGCAUUAAUCCUUAUGAAGUUGUGAAGAGCCAUUGAAGCAAUAACAAUCUUUACUUGUUUUUCAAGAGGAAAACUAUGCAUUUGUCAUAGCAUUCUCCAUCUAUUCUUCAAAACGACAAAUGUUCUCUCAAUUGUGCACCUCAAGGAAGAAUGCCUAUGAUUAAAUAUUUCCUUUUUACCUCUAGGUGAACUACCUCGUCGAAAAUCUGGAAGAUGGUAACGCUCGCCUUUAUAAGGGCCUAAAUAUCCACUCAUUUGAGGAUAACCAGCAUCGACCAAAUAUUUACCUAUAAAACAAAAACAAAAAAUAUAUAUUAGAUAAUAAAAAUUUGAUCACAAAAACAAGUUUGAUAUUGUCAUUCACAAAUCUCUAGGUGGAUGAGGAAAACCCAAUUCUGGCCUUCUUAAUGCCUCUAAAAAGACCCGUGCAUCAUGAGCAGCACCUUCC